UCCUCAGUAGCUCAGCGGUAGAGCGGUCGGCUGUUAACCGAUUAGUCGCAGGUUCGAAUCCUGCCUGGGGAG
rnacentral:tRNA from 5 species